GUCUAUGACCAUGCCACCAUGAACAAGCCCAAUCCCGUCUGAUCUCAGAAGCUAGGCAGGGCCUGGUUAGUACUUGGAUGGGAGACCACCUAGGAAGACCAGGUGCUGUAAGCG
rnacentral:rRNA from 1 species